rnacentral:sRNA from 1 species
UUCUCUUUUGAGUUGUUCUAGGCUAUGUCAAAAGAGAAAUCGCUAUAAGAAAAACAUCUUGCAAUUCUCUUUUGAGUUGUUCGAGCGCCUGCUGCAGAUCAUAGAGUAUGAAUUGUCGAAGGAGACUUGCAAUUCUCUUUUGAGUUGUUCAGGGAGGAUAAGGACGACCCGCUGGAGGCAAUAGCAAUAGGUGUCAUCUUGCAAUUCUCUUUUGAGUUGUUCCCUGGCGAACAUGGUUAUCGUGCUGCCGCCCUCGUAGCCAAACGCCUUGCAAUUCUCUUUUGAGUUGUUCACGAGUGAGGUACGGGCGUCGAGGAAAACUACGGUACAUGAUUGUCUUGCAAUUCUCUUUUGAGUUGUUCAUUUUUGCCGUUUGGUGGGAAGGUUCUCCCACCUGCUCACUUCUCUUGCAAUUCUCUUUUGAGUUGUUCAGUGGUGACAAGGCAGCAAGUAAUAGUGCAACUCUGCAUACCGAAAGACUUGCAAUUCUCUUUUGAGUUGUUCAGGUGGAGAGGCUGCUGGGCGGUGAGGCCCUGGCAGGUAUAAAGACUUGCAAUUCUCUUUUGAGUUGUUCAUCCACUCCUCCCUGCUUACCUUCCUCUUUACGACUAGUCUUGCAAUUCUCUUUUGAGUUGUUCCUAUGUCCUCCUCCCGUAGGCUCAGGGGCCAGGGCAUUAGAACUUGCAAUUCUCUUUUGAGUUGUUCCAGCAGUUGCUCUAGGGUCUUCGGCACCCACAUGGAGUGCUGUGGUGCUUGCAAUUCUCUUUUGAGUUGUUCGGAGGUGAGAGGUAUGAGUAGAAAAUGUAAAUUCGUAUCUUGCAAUUCUCUUUUGAGUUGUUCAGAUGAGAUAGAGCAGCUGCUAGAGGAGUGCGAAGCCGUUGACUUGCAAUUCUCUUUUGAGUUGUUCCAAACCUGCGCUACCUCAACGACCUACCACCAACUAUUGAUAUCUUGCAAUUCUCUUUUGAGUUGUUCAGAUGAGAUAGAGCAGCUGCUAGAGGAGUGCGAAGCCGUUGACUUGCAAUUCUCUUUUGAGUUGUUCCAAACCUGCGCUACCUCAACGACCUACCACCAACUAUUGAUAUCUUGCAAUUCUCUUUUGAGUUGUUCCCAGGUACGGUGACCUACUGCUUAAACCCGACUGCCUAGCACCAGGAGGGGAUCUUGCAAUUCUCUUUUGAGUUGUUCCAUUAUACCGAUGAUGUUCAGUACUGCUACAGCAAUGGCAGCCUUGCAAUUCUCUUUUGAGUUGUUCUGGUGGAGAUUGUGAAGUGAGGUGAUCGGCAUGCAGAUGUCUUGCAAUUCUCUUUUGAGUUGUUCAAGAGAGGUGGCAGUGAGGAAAACGUUGAUUGUGAUGGAAGAAAUCUUGCAAUUCUCUUUUGAGUUGUUCGCGUGGUGCUAUGGGUCGUCGAGGACUAGGAGGGCGAAGAGUCUUGCAAUUCUCUUUUGAGUUGUUCCCUCCUCGGAGAGCGUUACAUUGCUGAGAUAUGCCUUUACUUGCAAUUCUCUUUUGAGUUGUUCUCACAUGGCUCGGUUUUCCCCCAAAAUCACGCAUUCAUUGUACGUCUUGCAAUUCUCUUUUGAGUUGUUCAUUAAUCAAAUCACAAUCAUUGGGAGCUGCGAUCAACAAAAGAACACUUGCAAUUCUCUUUUGAGUUGUUCCAAGCAUCACCGCAUCUACCGGCUCCUGCUACGCCUCGGCCCCAGGACUUGCAAUUCUCUUUUGAGUUGUUCUUGAUUGUAGGCGCGCAAGGCGGUGGUGGCAAUAACGCUUUCGCCUUGCAAUUCUCUUUUGAGUUGUUCUGGCACGCUGGAAGUACUACUACAACGGAGUGAACCAGUUGGACCCUUGCAAUUCUCUUUUGAGUUGUUCCUUCGUCCUGUUCGGCAGUAUCAACUAUGUGAAGACUGAGAUGCCUUGCAAUUCUCUUUUGAGUUGUUCUCGCUCGCUGGCGGUGGCGUCGUCGAGAUCGCAAAAUCGAAUCCUUGCAAUUCUCUUUUGAGUUGUUCAUACAGCUUCGAGGAACGCGAAGAGCCUGGCCGCUUGCUUCUUGUCCCUUGCAAUUCUCUUUUGAGUUGUUCCAGUAUGCAUAGACAAGUCUAUCGGCAGGAUAGAGCCCUAUAUCAAGGCUUGCAAUUCUCUUUUGAGUUGUUCAGAGGAUGUUCGAGGAGCGGCUGAGGGAGAUGCAGGAGACGAUACACUUGCAAUUCUCUUUUGAGUUGUUCUUAGUAGAAUCAUAGAAGAAGGUAGUAUCAGCAUCUUGAUAGAUCUUGCAAUUCUCUUUUGAGUUGUUCUUGAAAAAAGACCUGCAUGAGGUGGCUCAUCAUGCGCUUGCUUGCAAUUCUCUUUUGAGUUGUUCAGAGCCCGUUCACCCGCAUAGCGGUCAAAUGGGAGCCCAGCGCUUGCAAUUCUCUUUUGAGUUGUUCACCGGUGAGAGGGAUGGUAAGGGUCGAGUUUCAGAUCAAUACACUUGCAAUUCUCUUUUGAGUUGUUCUUCACAUCAUUCAUUGAGUACACAACAGGAGAGAGCUACAUAGAGGCUUGCAAUUCUCUUUUGAGUUGUUCAUAGUCAUCGAAUACAACGGCAUAUUCAUGAUGGAAUGCAAACCUUGCAAUUCUCUUUUGAGUUGUUCAGACCCUGAGAAACGAGACAGACUACCCGCCAGCCAGGCUCUGGAGGCUUGCAAUUCUCUUUUGAGUUGUUCACGUUAGAAACCCCGAUGCAGCGAUAAAGACACUGAGCCUUGCAAUUCUCUUUUGAGUUGUUCGAUAUUCCACGUAGACCACCACGAGACAAGCAUACCGUUCGCUUGCAAUUCUCUUUUGAGUUGUUCCUACAUCUCGCUGCGCUACAGCAGCAAGGACGAGGCGUCCACUUGCAAUUCUCUUUUGAGUUGUUCAAGACCAUGAGUGCACAACGAUGCAGCAGUUCUACAUAGUCUUCAAUGACUUGCAAUUCUCUUUUGAGUUGUUCGAAGAAGGUUGGCAACAAAUGGAGGGGCGUUAAAGCCCUUGCUUGCAAUUCUCUUUUGAGUUGUUCAGCAAGCUGAAGUUUAAACUCUGCAACGUGGAGAGCUGCCUUGCAAUUCUCUUUUGAGUUGUUCUGCACUG